rnacentral:rRNA from 1 species
AAAAUGACUCUCGACAACGGAUAUCUUGGCUCUUGCAUCGAUGAAGAACGUAGCGAAAUGCGAUACUUGGUGUGAAUUGCAGAAUCCCGUGAACCAUCGAGUCUUUGAACGCAAGUUGCGCCCGAAGCCAUUAGGCUGAGGGCACGCCUGCCUGGGUGUCACGC